rnacentral:tRNA from 1 species
GCUCCGGUGGUGUAAAGGCGUAGAGCAUUCCCGCCGGUCGGAUGGAGGUGCGGGUUCGAGUCCCGCCCGGCGCU